rnacentral:rRNA from 1 species
AACAUUGAGCACUGCUUUAUUUGGGGGAUACUUUCGAAGAGAUAAUACCCAUAAUAUUUGAUUGGCUCUUCNACUUUGAAACUCCGGUGAUAAAGAUGGGCACGCGCAGAUAAUAGUGGUGAGGUAACGGCUCACCAAGUCUACGAUCUUUAGGGGGCCUGAGAGGGUGAUCCCCCACACUGGUACUGAGACACGGACCAGACUCCUACGGGAGGCAGCAGUGAGGAAUAUUGGACAAUGGGUGAGAGCCUGAUCCAGCCAUCCCGCGUGAAGGACGACUGCCUAUGGGUUGUAACUCUUUGUAUAGGGAUAACCUACCUCGUGAGGUACUGAGGUACUAUACAAUAACACGGUAAUCGUGCAACGGAAACGAGGUGCACGUAUCGAUUAUGGUAGGUCAGGAUCUGGAAGUCCGUGGUGAAUUCUCACAGGUUUANUUGUGAANUGCCUUGGAAACUGGGGGUCUUGGAGUUGGUGUUGAAUCUUGGGAAAAUAUUUGGGCGGGGAAAUGNUAAAUUUUUUUUAAACCCCUUUGGAGAGGGGUGUUUAUAACAAAUGGGCGUUUUGGAAAAUGUUGGGGGAGCAGAACGAGAUAAAACA